rnacentral:lncRNA from 1 species
CUGGUCAAGAUGGUUAUAAAUAUAUUAAAGAGGCUUGAUGGUUAGUACUCGAUUGAGAUCUCAAAUUCAAAGUUUAGCUUUAUAUUUCCAACUAAAUUCAUUUCUAAAAGAUGAACGAAACAAAUAUCAUACUAACUUUCUUUCUAAAAAAAAAAAAUUGAAAGUCUCAAAUCGAAUUAUUAACUUGAAUAUAAAUUUUGUAACACUUGACCUGCAUACAAUAACAACUCGUUAAACUCAAAUCACCUGCCUACAAUACUUAAGGUUAAUUAAUAUUAUUUGUGUUUAUAAUCUUUUAUAUAUCCAAUCACAAUCUCAUUCUUAUCGAAUGUAGAAUUAUUAGGAUAUCAGAAAUUUGCACUGAUCCGCUUAACUUAUCACUGAAACCUAAAGGACUCAAUGCUCACCACAAUCUAAUGGGUGAUAUGACUCGAAAGGAACGGAAGAAUCUUCGAGAAUAAGAAAGUAAAAAGUAAAUUUGAGACAACUAUUGUUUGAGAUUAGGUAUCUUUCGGGGUUUGGGAAAAAUAU